AACGAACGCUGGCGGCAUGCCUAACACAUGCAAGUCGAACGAGACCUUCGGGUCUAGUCGCGCACGGGUGCGUAACGCGUCGGGACCUGCCCUUAGGUUCGGCAUAACUCCCCGAAAGGGGUGCUAAUACCGGAUAAUGUCUUCGGACCAAAGAUUUAUCGCCUUUGGAUGGGCCCGCGUUGGAUUAGCUAGUUGGUACGGUAAAAGCCUACCAAGGCGACGAUCCAUAGCUGGUCUGAGAGGAUGAUCAGCGACACUGGGACUGAGACACGGCCCAGACUCCUACGGGAGGGAGCAGUGGGGAAUAUUGGACAAUGGGCGAAAGCAUGAUCCAGCAAUGCCGCGUGAGUGAUGAAGGCCUUAGGGUUGUAAAGCUCUUUUACCCGGGAUGAUAAUGACAGUACCGGGAGAAUAAGCUCCGGCUAACUCCGUG
rnacentral:rRNA from 1 species